AGUUCCCAGGUAUAGUCCGCUAGUGACAGUCUGCUGGCAAAUCCAGGCAUGUGAUGGAAGGAUGCUGAUGUGAAGGACACAGGGACACCUGAUACAAGAACUGUGGCAUUUCAUUCAGAGUGACAACCUGACAUUCAGUUGAUAUUGGACCCGAUUAUUCAGAAAACUGCAGAUUUUAGGAAGCUGUUUUUGACAGAAGAUUUGGCUUUUUCCAUCUGUAUUGCCACCAACCAUUAUGCUGAGAUGGUCAUAUCUAGGGGGAAAGAUUGUCAUUAUACUUCCCAAGGAAGUUCGCAUCCUCUCACUGAAGAGGAAUUGUACAGAUUUUCGUGCAUUAUCUUAUACAUGUUUGCUGUGAAGUUCCAGUCGAUAGACAGAUAUUGGUCAAUGCAUUCCCCUUUCGGAACAACCCAGUACAGUGUAUCAGGAAUGAUGUCUAGAAAUA